rnacentral:rRNA from 1 species
AAUCUUCCGCAAUGGACGAAAGUCUGACGGAGCAACGCCGCGUGAGUGAUGAAGGUCUUCGGAUCGUAAAACUCUGUUGUUAGGGAAGAACAAGUACCGCUCGAAUAGGGCGGUACCUUGACGGUACCUAACCAGAAAGCCACGGCUAACUACGUGCCAGCAGCCGCGGUAAUACGUAGGUGGCAAGCGUUAUCCGGAAUUAUUGGGCGUAAAGCGCGCGCAGGUGGUUUCUUAAGUCUGAUGUGAAAGCCCACGGCUCAACCGUGGAGGGUCAUUGGAAACUGGAGGACUUGAGUACAGAAGAGGAAAGCGGAAUUCCACGUGUAGCGGUGAAAUGCGUAGAGAUGUGGAGGAACACCAGUGGCGAAGGCGGCUUUCUGGUCUGUAACUGACGCCGAGGCGCGAAAGCGUGGGGAGCAAACA